GUCCACGCCCUAAACGAUGUCAACUAGGUGUUGGGUGGGUAAAACCAUUUAGUACCGGAGCUAACGCGUGAAGUUGACCGCCUGGGGAGUACGGCCGCAAGGUUAAAACUCAAAGGAAUUGACGGGGACCCGCACAAGCGGUGGAUGAUGUGGAUUAAUUCGAUGCAACGCGAAAACCUUACCUACCCUUGACAUGUCCAGAAGCUCUUAGAGAUUUGAGUGUGCCCGAAAGGGAACUGGAACACAGGUGCUGCAUGGCUGUCGU
rnacentral:rRNA from 1 species